GAGUUUGAUCUUGGCUCAGAUUGAACGCUGGCGGCAUGCCUUACACAUGCAAGUCGAACGGCAGCAUGAUCUAGCUUGCUAGAUUGAUGGCGAGUGGCGAACGGGUGAGUAAUACAUCGGAACGUGCCCUGUAGUGGGGGAUAACUAGUCGAAAGAUUAGCUAAUACCGCAUACGACCUGAGGGUGAAAGUGGGGGACCGCAAGGCCUCAUGCUAUAGGAGCGGCCGAUGUCUGAUUAGCUAGUUGGUGGGGUAAAGGCCCACCAAGGCGACGAUCAGUAGCUGGUCUGAGAGGACGAUCAGCCACACUGGGACAGAGACACGGCCCAGACUCCUACGGGAGGCAGCAGUGGGGAAUUUUGGACAAUGGGCGAAAGCCUGAUCCAGCAAUGCCGCGUGUGUGAAGAAGGCCUCGG
rnacentral:rRNA from 1 species